GUCCACACCGUAAACGUUGGGCGCUAGGUGUGGGACUCAUUCCACGAGUUCCGUGCCGCAGCUAACGCAUUAAGCGCCCCGCCUGGGGAGUACGGCCGCAAGGCUAAAACUCAAAGGAAUUGACGGGGGCCCGCACAAGCGGCGGAGCAUGCGGAUUAAUUCGAUGCAACGCGAAGAACCUUACCUAGGUUUGACAUAUACGAGAAGCCUCUAGAGAUAGAGGUCUCUUUGGACACUCGUAUACAGGUGGUGCAUGGCUGUCGU
rnacentral:rRNA from 1 species